UACAGAGGUCCCAAGCGUUGUUCGGAUUCACUGGGCGUAAAGGGUGCGUAGGUGGUCGGGUAAGUCUGAUGUGAAAUCUUCGAGCUCAACUCGAAAAUGGCUUUGGAUACUAUUCGGCUGGAGGGUUGGAAGGGGGACUGGAAUUCUCGGUGUAGCAGUGAAAUGCGUAGAUAUCGAGAGGAACACCGGUGGCGAAGGCGAGUCCCUGGACAAUCCCUGACGCUGAGGCGCGAAAGCGUGGGGAGCAAACGGG
rnacentral:rRNA from 1 species